rnacentral:tRNA from 1 species
GCCGGAAUAGCUUAGAUGGUAGAGCAGAGGACUGAAAAUCCUCGUGUCACCAGUUU